UACAGAGGGUGCAAGCGUUGUUCGGAAUCAUUGGGCGUAAAGGGCGCGUAGGCGGCCACCGCAAGUCGGUUGUGAAAUCUCUGGGCUUAACCCAGAAAGGUCAAUCGAUACUGCGGGGCUAGAGUGCAGAAGGGGCAACUGGAAUUCUCGGUGUAGCGGUGAAAUGCGUAGAUAUCGAGAGGAACACCUGCGGCGAAGGCGGGUUGCUGGGCUGACACUGACGCUGACAGCGCGAAAGCUAGGGGAGCGAACGGG
rnacentral:rRNA from 1 species